AUGGGGUGACUGCGUACCUUUUGUAUAAUGGGUCAGCGACUUAUAUUCUGUAGCAAGGUUAACCGUAUAGGGGAGCCGUAGGGAAACCGAGUCUUAACUGGGCGAAUGAGUUGCAGGGUAUAGACCCGAAACCCGGUGAUCUAUCCAUGGGCAGGUUGAAGGUUGGGUAACACUAACUGGAGGACCGAACCGACUAAUGUUGAAAAAUUAGCGGAUGACUUGUGGAUGGGGGUGAAAGGCCAAUCAAACCGGGAGAUAGCUGGUUCUCCCCGAAAGCUAUUUAGGUAGCGCCUCGUGAAUUCAUCUUCGGGGGUAGAGCACUGUUUCGACUAGGGGGUCAUCCCGACUUACCAACUCGAUGCAAACUGCGAAUACCGAAGAAUGUUAUCACGGGAGACACACGGCGGGUGCUAACGUCCGUCGUGAAGAGGGAAACAACCCAGACCGCCAGCUAAGGUCCCAAAGUCAUGGUUAAGUGGGAAACGAAGUGGGAAGGCUCAGACAGCCAGGAUGUUGGCUUAGAAGCAGCCAUCAUUUAAAGAAAGCGUAAUAGCUCACUGGUCGAGUCGGCCCGCGCGGAAGAUGUAACGGGGCUAAACCAUGCACCGAAGCUGCGGCAGCGA
rnacentral:rRNA from 1 species